GAACCGUUACGGGAACUGAAGCUGCCGAUUAAGCCUGAUCAAGAUGACAACCUCCCAAAAGCACCGAGACUUCGUGGCAGAGCCCAUGGGGGAGAAGCCAGCGGGGAGCCUGGCUGGGAUUGGUGAAGUCCUAGGCAAGAAGCUGGAGGAGAGGGGCUUUGACAAGGCCUAUGUUGUCCUUGGCCAGUUUCUGGUGCUAAAGAAAGAUGAAGAUCUCUUCCGGGAAUGGCUGAAGGACACGUGUGGCGCCAACGCCAAGCAGUCCCCCGACUGCUUCGGAUGCCUUCGAGAGUGGUGCGACGCCUUCUUGUGAUGCUGUCUGGGAAGCUCUCAAUCCCCAGCCCUCAUCCAGAGUUUGCAGCACAGUAGGGACUCCUCCCCUGCCCUCUACGAAGGAAAAGAUUGCUAUUGUCGUACUCACCUCCGAUGUACUCCAGGGUCGUUUGGGAGUUUUCUCCCCUAACCAUUUCAACUUUUUUGGAUUCUCGCUCUUGCAUGCCUCCCCCGCCCUUUUUCCCUUGCCAGU